rnacentral:rRNA from 1 species
UACGUAGGGGCCAAGCGUUGUCCGGAUUUAUUGGGCGUAAAGAGCUCGUAGGCGGUUGGGUAAGUCGGGUGUGAAAACUCCAGGCUCAACUUGGAGAUGCCACCCGAUACUGCUCUGACUUGAGUUCGGUAGGGGAGUGGGGAAUUCCUGGUGUAGCGGUGAAAUGCGCAGAUACUCAGGAGGAACACCGGUGGCGAAGGCGCCACUCUGGGCCGAAACUGACGCUGAGGAGCGAAAGCGUGGGUAGCAAACAGG